CUGGGCGUAAAGGGUGCGUAGGCGGCUUUUUNAANUUUGGUGUGAAAUCUCCCCGGCUCAACUGGGAGGGUGCGCCGAAUNCUGAGAGGCUAGAGUGUGGGAGAGGAAANNNGANUUCCUGGNGUAGCGGUGAAAUGCGUAGAUAUCAGGAGGNACNCCGGUGGUGUAANCGGCUUUNNGGNCCAUAACUGACGCUGAGGCACGAAAGCGUGGGUAGCAAACAGGAUUAGAUACCCUGGUAGUNCNCGCCCUAAACGAUGCAUAUUUGGUGUGGGCCAUUCAUUUGGUCUGUGCCGGAGCUAACGCGUUAAAUAUGCCGCCUGGGGAGUACAGUCGCAAGGCUGAAACUCAAAGGAAUUGACGGGGGCCCNCACAAGCGGUGGAGCAUGUGGUUUAAUUCGACGCAACGCGAAGAACCUUACCUGGGCUCGAAAUGCUAUGGACAGUCUGUGAAAGCGGAUCUUCCCGCAAGGGACCGUAGUAUAGGUGC
rnacentral:rRNA from 1 species